rnacentral:rRNA from 1 species
CCUACGGGAGGCAGCAGUAGGGAAUAUUGCACAAUGGGGGAAACCCUGAUGCAGCAACGCCGCGUGGAUGAUGAAGGUCUUCGGAUUGUAAAGUCCUGUUGUCAGGGAAGAAAAUGACGGUAACUAACGAAUAAGCACCGGCUAACUACGUGCCAGAAGCCGCGGUAAUACGGAGGGUGCAAGCGUUAACCGGAAUAACUGGGCGUAAAGUGCGCGUAGGCGGGAUGGCAAGUCUGGUGUGAAAGCCUGUGGCUUAACCAUGGGACUGCUUUGGAAACUGUUAUGCUAGAGUGUUGGAGAGGUAGGCGGAAUUCGUGGUGUAGCGGUAAAAUCCGUAGAGAUCAGGAGGAAUACUCAUGGCGAAGGCGACUUACUAGAACAUAACUGACGCUGAGGCUCGAAAGCGUGGGGAGCAAACAGGAUUAGAUACCCCUGUAGUC